rnacentral:lncRNA from 1 species
GUUUGCGACUUACACUGUGUCACUUUUAUUAUGAAGUUUGGUAUAAAAAUACAUCUUAUAUUGAAAAGUUCAUAAUUAUAUCCACUAUAUAUAUGACCAUAUCUGGGAACCAGAAGGUAAACAAAACAAAUAUCUAGAUAAUUGAAAUUAUUCCCCAUAAGAGGCGUGGUUUGUGAAACAGCUGCAACCCCUAUCAAUACACAAUACAGUUAUUGCCUACGAACAGGAUGUGUUAAGUAUGUGUAUACAACCCUUAGAUAAGUUUUGACCUAUAGUUUUUUUCAUUGACCCUUGACUUAUUAUGUUAGACCCA